rnacentral:lncRNA from 1 species
CCACCCCCACCCUGCCACAGCUUCGGGACGACUGGAUCGCCGCGCCUGGGCCGGAGCGAGCCAUCUGCGGGCACUAUGCAAAGCGGGAGACGGCGCGAGCGGCGCCCGGCUCACACUAGCUCUUCCAGGACGCAGGUCUUUUUUUUUUUUUUUCUUUUUCUUUUUUCAUUUCCCAGAUACAGCUGAUCGAGUUCGCCGAGUGGCCGAGCGAGUGAGCGCUCCUCCGACUUGGGUGGAGGAAGGCACGGAAAAGUAUACGGGAGAAAAAGUGGGGGUUUUAGGGGUGGGGGUGGCAUAGGAGGAGGGAGGGGGGGAUCUGCAAAUCAUUCCACUUUUUAAACGAUCAUAGGUAGUGUCAAGGAUACGUGUCACCCUUGGUUCCUUUUAAAGGGGAGGUGGACAAUAAAAUACAGGUAGGUUUGGUAUUAAAAUAAUAGGUGCCAGAGGUUUCACAUCGGGUCCGCUGCAUCUGUUAUUAGACGAAGAUCAACAUUGGCUGAGUCCCAGUUUAUCUCCAGUCCAAAUUAUCAGGAAGAGGAAUAUUUACCCUUGGUUACCUCUGACAUUAGUUGGAUUGUAGGUAAAGCAGCCUUUAAAAAUAUAUAUGUUGCAAACAUCUGGCGAUUACCCUUCACUAAUUCACUCGCCCCAGAAAGACCAAAGAUAGCUGUUCAAUACAGGAUUUACACAGUUUUGACGCCUGGGCAACAAACUUUAAAGUUUAUUAGGCAAGAAAUUUCAAACGCAUAAAUCGCAGGCUCUAAAAUAAAGCCCUAGAAAAUUUACUUUGGUUUGACAUUUCUUGCUUGAAAAAUAACCAGCAAAAUUUCUUUAGAUAAUGUGGCUCUUAAAGAUCUCCUUGGGCUUUGCAAGUUACAAAUGCAAGCGAGCCUCAGCCGCAGCUAGAACGUCCCUUUCACCGGGCACAGUAAACGGCUUUUAAUAAAGCAGCCGCGUUUAUGACCUAAAGAUCCUAUAAAAGCUGGGACUUGCAAGAGCUGCGAAGCAGAAACAUUCAUACAUAGUCUAUUAGACACUCAUUUUUGUAAGUAGGAGGAGGACAAGUAGUCUUCGUGUGUCCCUCAAAUUUAAUCAGAUCAAAGGUUGAAUCAUGCUGUGUCGUGACAACAGGGUAUUUAUGAGGUGUGUUACAAGUACACUGGCCAAACACUACCAAUGUCUUCUGCGACACACACACACACACACUCCUUCCUAGGGAAUUUACAAUUUCAGCCUCAAAUUCACCAAACCGUAAAGAGGAUAUUAAGCCCUCCCUUUGAAUAAGAAUAGCGAUGUUAGUAUGUCCGAGUCUAUCCCGGCAGGAAACUUUUGGCACGAAUUUCAAACAGUGAAAAGGAGAAAAAAAAUUAGGUCGGUCAGGUUAGGUGUCGGCGAUAAGAAAAGAGAUUGCGGGAGCAUCCCCAGCCUUCUUCUUUCCCCUUUUGCCGCCCCCACACACUCCCCCCACGCGUCUAUCACGGAAGCAACACAGAGGAGCGCACACGCACCACUCACACCUCCAACUAUUGACUGUUGUAUCAGGUGUUCUAACCGGGAUGUGACAGUUGAGGCUGGGAGCAGAAAUAAUCAACAUGCCCAUUAGAUACAGGACGGAAUAAUGCUUCUAUUGGUUGGGUCCCUUCGAGAGAGAACCAUUCUCUGCUUUCAAUAGGACAGAAGAGCUCCUUGGCACUGGAUGCCUCCGGGUCUGGUUGAGAGAGGAAUGGUUAGGAGACUGUUCUGAGGAUACGCAGACAUCAUCCAAAGCUUCCUACAUUCAGAUGAGGACAGAGGUUGGGCCAGAGCUUUGUAAGCUUGUUACCUAAGGAUGGUUCUGACCAUGUAAGCAGAUCACAGAAGCUAUUCACAGAUCAUCAUCAGCCAGAGGUGACUUCUGUUGCUUGCAGCUCAGAAUCCUAGAUGUUUCCGGUGGCACUGAAGAGCCUCUGCUGAAGCUCUAUACCAUUUGCCAUUUACAAAGGGAAAUGAAAUAAUAACGCUGACCAUUUGUGGAGCACAUUCUGUCUGGAGGCAAAGGAUGCCAAGAUGGGAAAGCCACAUAAUGGAAGGAUCCUGGAUUUCAGAGCUGUCACUUGGAGGAGGGGCACCCAGUGAAGGUGUCUUAUCUAACCCACACCAUAUCUUCAUGAAGUGGCCAUAUGGAUUUGAUCCCUAUCCUUCAGAGGUGCUCAGCCUAAGGGAACACGGAUAGUAGAUUAAGCACUGACCAGAGCCAGCCUUGACAAUGUGCUGAUGGCAACCUAGAACAUAAGCAGAGGAGUAUACAGGACAAGAACUUGAUGGUCUCGGGAAAAUGGACAACAUGACUCAGGUGAAAAAGAUUGAUCAUCAGAUGUUUCUUAUGUAUCAACCUGAUAUUUAAAUCCAUGAAGGACAGAGACGACAAAGGCAGGUGGAAUAGAUAGAGAAGAGAUUCAAGGUCUGAGCUCUACAUUACUCAAACUGUUAGAGAUUAGGAAGAAGAGGAAGACCUGGCAAAAGAAUGUCCUGGGAUGUAGAAAGAAAACCAGAAGCUUGUGUUCUCUGGAAACCAAAUGAAGAAAGGGCUUCCAGAAGGACAGACAAAGUGUAGUGUGUCAAAGGCUCCUGAGCAAUCAGAGGAGAGCACAAAGGGGCUCACAGGACUUUGGUAUCUGGAUCACCCAGUGACACUUCCUGAUCACGAGAAACUGUCAGACCAACAGGGGCACUUUCUGAAACCAGCAGUUCUUCAGUGCCCAAAUGCAACCUUGAUGGUUUGAUUUUGGAGGAUGGCAAUUCAUUAACAGCACUCCCCAGUGAUAAAUAUGAAAACCAAUAAAACCCCCCACCCAAGGCAAUCUCUCCCAGCUCCUCGCUUUGAGUAAAGUGAGUAACCUCCAUUUCUGCCAACUCCUGUCUUGUCUGAAGCCACAUUUCCCCAGCAAUGUCACAUAUGCAUUUCUUGAUCCUGGUCAUUUCUCCUCUUGGGAGAUGAAUCAUAAAGAAAAUGAGAUCUGUGUGCCCUGGUGACUAUGGAUGCAAGAGUCUGCUGCCCUGGAGGGAACAGCUGGAAAAGUAGAUGGUGAAGACGUGUGGGGGGGAAACAGUGGAGAAGGCAUCUUUGCAGGGGAUCAAGGUGACAGAGUGAUUAGUUACACUGUUUUGACAUGUGAGAACAGGGGGUUAUAAAAAUGGAUACAGGAAGAGGGAGAGAAAGUAAGGACCAAAACAUGAAGCCAGUCAUGAAUGUUUUUACAUAAAAAGCAGCAGAUUUACGGCAAAUAUGUGAUGUUUCCACAUUUUCUGCCUCUAGUUAGCAGGGGCAGCACAAAGAGCAUUACUGUGGAGCUGAACUUUGGGUAAAAGAUUAACAGCCAGUCCUUUCUCUCCAGUGUCUGCUUCCUUCUGGGCUUGCCCUGGGGGAAAAGGAGGGCUGGCAUGGAUAUGCCUGCAGCCCUCACCCUAGAUGUUCUUCCACGCCUCUCUGUUCAUUCAUUGCUUAGUCAUUCCUCAGGCAUGGAUUGAGACCACUGUGUGCCCAGGACCGACCUGGCCUAGGAUGGACAUAGAGAUGGAAAAGGCACAGGGAGCAGGUGACAGAGACAAAUCAAGGUCAUGGAGAAUAGCAGAGUAAGAUAGAAGAUGAAGGCAGGAGAUGGGGUUCUUGAGAAAGCGAGAGCAGGACUGACCCGUGUCUGCCUCACCUGUUAUUGCUGUAGCCUCUUCUCCUUGGAGUAUCCCUCCUGCUCUUGCAUCACCUUAGGAACUUGGAUCAGAGAGGAAAGUUACGGCCUGGAUAUGUUGUAGUAGGAGGGGACAAACAUGUUUGGAGACAGAAAUGCUUGGGGAGCGGGUGUUUUUGGGGGAUGAGACUUUCCAGGUCUCUCAAUUCACACUAUGUAGGUAGUUCACUGCACAGCUUAAAUAAGAGACAACUCUCCGGAGUGGUUGGCUCUCAUCCAAAAAAUGUGUUUUGGGCCUCAGAUUUCCAACGGAAGGGCUGAAGCGUGACUGGCCUGAUGUCAACUACUGAAGUCCACCUGCCCCUGCCCUAUCAGGAGAAACCAGGAGAAGGCAGUCCUAGGGCAGUCUCCGGGCCAGCUUUCCCUAAUAAGAAGGCAGAGCUCCUCUUCACCCAGACUUCAGACCUAUAGAGGCAGCCUGGGGUCCCGGGAUGCCCUUGCACUCAGAGAUGUCCCCAGAGUCCUAGGGAAAUGGAGGAUAACUAGGAGGAAGCUGUUCAUGGCUGGCGAUGAGGUCUAUACCUUCUUGUCCGUCUCAGUGCUGUCUGCUAUUGAAUUUUUGUGCAGAUCACAUUAACUUAAAGCCAGUUCUCAAGAAGCUCCCCCUGCCGCCGGCAUAUCCACCAGUUGCUCCCCUUUCCUGCCAUUAAUCAGGGUCUGCUAGUUAGAGAACAAAUUCCUAUUUGUCCAAACAGUUGCCAACACCCCCACCCCAAGGUAGUUAAAUGAGGAUGAAUGGGUCAUUCUUAUUAAAAAAUGACUUAAAUUUCUCAAAUUCUAUUUAUGUUUCUUUUACAUCCCAAUUUUCUAUAGAUUUAGUGACUCCAAAUGAUAAGGUCUCAAGCUCAUAAUAAUUUAUCCCUUGGGUAACACACAAGGCUUGGUGGUAUUUCAGUAAUAUUCAUGACAACAGCAGCUGUCGUGCUAAUAAGGACUGAUGUCACCAGAGCACUUUCUAUGUGCCAAGCAUGGUGCACAACACUUUACAUACAUUAUGUCAUUUAAUUUUCACAAAACCUCACAGAGGUAAAUAUUAUUAUCUUCCUCUGCAUAUAAGGAAAUGAAUGUUCGGAAAGAUUAAGUCAACUCACUGAGGUCCCAUCAGUGCUCUUUCAUAUGCCUCUGUUGCAGUCUCAUUGAACUGCUGAAAUCAGAAAAACCUGGAGACCUUGUUAACCUUCAGAUUCCUGGGCCCCAUCUUAGAUGCAGGGAGUCAGACUUCCUGGGAGUGUGGCCCUGGAAUUUUCAUUUGUAAACACAUUCCCCAAGAGACCUGUAUGCACACUAAAGUGGGAGAAUUCACGAUCUCUGGCUUUUGUGAUGUUUUAAACGCACUAUAUAAUUUCAGUAGCAAAAGAAUUGGGCUUUGGGAAGGGAGUGUGUGGUGAACCCUGAAAGCUGAAUGGACUUCCUUCCUGUGGAGGAGCAGUGGGAGAAACUGGAGGCAGAGAGCUGUGUUUCAUUCCUUGAUUGAGCCUUUGUGAGUUAUUUAAUCUCUUUCAGUCUCUAUUUUUUUCAUUUGUAAACCAGGAAGGAUACUUGUAUUUUCCAGGUGGUUGUGAGGUGUGAAAGAGAUGAGAGUAGAACAAAAUUUUAAAAGUUGAAAGCACUCAACAAAUGUAUUUGGUAUUAAUCAUGGGUUUCCCUGGGGCCGAGGAAGCCACCAGCCACCGCAGGCCUGUACACAAUGCCAGCCACCAUGUAUGGAUACGGAGGAGGCAAAAGGACUAGCGAACACUCCCAGGGACUGGAUGUCUUGAAUAUCUGUCCAACUUUCUUGGGAGGGGCCAUUUCUUCUGUAACUCAAAGGAAUUUAUUAUUUUUCAGCCAGGGAGGCAUGCUUUCUAUCUACUGCUAGUACUCCCAGACCAAGCUGUUUCAGUGGGACUGAGGUGUGACUUCUGCCUCGGUUUCAUCCAUCUGUGCAGGGAAGAGAAAAAUGCCUGCACCUCCACGGUCACACCCUCUGUUGGAACCACCUCCUUAAGCCAGAAUUAUUGAAUGUUCUCUAUGUGCCAGAAUUAUUAUUAUCUCAUUUGAUUCUCACAACAAUGCCAUGAAGUCUAUACAGACAUACCUUGGAAAUACAGCGGGUUUGGUUCCAGACCACCGCAAUAAAGCUAAUACCGCAAUAAAAUGGGUCACACGAAUUUUUUGGAUUAGGCUUCGGCUUAAGGGAAUGUUGUGGCUGGUUUGAUGUUUUAUCCAGACCGCUAACACUUUCUCCCUAUCAGCAAUGAGGCUGUUUUGCUUUCUUAUCAUUCCUGUGUUCACUGGAGUAGCACUUUUAAUUUCCUUCAAGAACUUUUCCUUUGCAUUCAUAACUUGGCUAACUGUUUGGCACAAGAGGCCUGCCUAGCUUUUGGCCUAUCUAAGCUUUUGACUUGCCUUCCUCACUGAGCUUAAUCAUCUCUAGCCUUGGAUUUAACGUGGAAAAUGUGUGACCCUUCCUUUCACUUGAACACUUGGAAGCUAUUGUAGGGUUAUUAACUGGCCUAAUUCAAUAUUAUUGUGUCUCAGGGAACAGGGAGGCCCAGAGAGAGAGAGACGGGAAAACAGAAAGUCAGUGGGGCAGGCAGAACACACACGUUUAUUUAUUAAGUUUGCUGUCAUAUGUUGGUGCAGUUCAUGCUGCCCCAAAACAAUUACAAUAACAAGAUCAAAGAUUCCUGGUCAUAGAUUGCCAUAACAGAUACAGUAAUCACGAAAAAGUUUGAGAUAUUGUGAGAAUUACGCAGAUAUUGUGAGAAAUAUGACCCAGAGACAAGAAGCGAGCACAUGCCGUUAGAAAAAUGGCACCAACAGACUUGCUUGCUGCAGGGUUACACAUACCUUCAAUUUGUAAAAAAAAAAAACUGUAAUAUCUGCAAAACGCAAUAAAGAAAAGUGUAAUAAAAUGCAGUCUGCCUGAACUUCAAUUAUUCCCAUUUUAUAGAAGAGGAAAUAGAUGCAGGGAGUUUGAUCUGCCUGAACUAGUAAAUGGUAGAACUCUGGGACUAACAUUCCUAUCCUCUAUGCUACAUUCCUAGGAAAGAACGCUCAGACAGGGUUGGACUGAGAGUGUGUUAAGCUUUGCACUGUUUUGAGCCCUCUGAAGGAGUGUCCGUAUUUGAAAGCUGGCCUCCUUCCUUUCACUGGCCCUCCACAGUGUGGCCUAAGUUAUUCAAUUAGGAAGGGAAAUAAUUGGCAGUGGAGAAUGCCUCUAGCAGUGGUAAUUACCUCCAGUGCCUUGUAGGAAUAGUCAAGCUACAUUUCAGUUUAUGCUGUAAAACCUUAAUUAUAAUAUAAACAGCUGCCCUUCAGCCCAGUGGGGCAGCCUUCCCCCGCCUUCCUUCUCUGGCCUCUGAAUGGCCCUGCCUCCUGAAUGGUCAGGGAGGUCCAGGGACGGAAGGAGACCUGGGAGGAGGGGAGCCGAUGACUAUGCGUGCGUUGGGGUUUGGAAGACUAAGCUGGAGGGAGCCACUGCCAGGGUCCCAUCUUCAAGUGAUGAAGCCAAAGGCAGCAUCCCCAUUCUUGGUACCACUCACACUGAGUCUCUUGGGGGAGCAGCCUCCAGCCAUUAGCAGUCAGCCCAGUGCCAUUAGGCUAGGAUAGGGUUUAGCAGGCUAUGGUAUCAUUUCAGGGUAACAUCUCUUUCUAUUUACUCCCCUAUAAGGGAGAACAGAGUCUUCCCUUCUAGAUCCAGACUUCCUGGCCAUGUAGGAGCCCUGUUGAGUGCCUGGUGCACUCUAGGUAGUAUGCGAGGCAUGGUUGCAAGGGUUCCCCAUUUCAACUUCACAGCACUUGGAUACACAGAAAAUUAACAUCCUCAUUUGACUAUUGAGGAAAAUGAGACUUUGAAAGUUUAAACGGAGAUAAGGCUUGGGAGGCAGACAGCCCUGUAAGUGACUUAAGUUCAGGAAGGAGAAGGACACUCAAUAUUUUUGUUCAGAGCACUGGGAAGGAGAGAGAGGGAUCAGUCACCAUCGGGCAUUUGAGAAGGUCCAGGAACAGGGGGCUGGUGAGCAGAGGGGGGAAUAACACCAGAGGGGCUGAAAUUGCUGAUUGCUGGGUUCACAGAUCUACCCACGAGCGGCCCAGGUACCCCAUGAGCGGCUGCUCUGUGUCAUCUGACCACUGGAUUGUAACCUGGGCUGAAAGAAUCAGAAGUCAGUGUGGCGAGGCAGGAGUCCUCAGAUGGUCAGAGCUGACUCUUCAACUCUUAAGGGCAAAAUGGAAAAUGUGAGCUUGUUGGUGGUCUUCGAAACACAGUAAGCAAUCCAUGCCCCUGAAGAGCAGGGAUAAUUAUAGGCAUGCCCUUGUUUUAUUGUGCUUUGCAGAUAUUGCAUGUUUUUACAAAUUGAAGAUUUAUGGCAACUCUGCAUACAGCAAAUCUAUUGAUGCCAUCUUUUUCCAAUAUCACAUGCUCACUCUGUGUCUCUGUCUCACAUUUUGGUAGUUCUCCCAAUAUUUCACACCUUAUUAUUAUUAUUAUAUCUGUUAUGAUGAUCUGUGGUCAGGGAUCUUUGAGGUUACUAUUGUAGUUGUUUUGAGGUGCCAUGAACUGCACCCAUGUAAGACAGCGAACAUAAUCAAUAAAUGUUGUGUGUUCUGACUGCUCCACCAACCGACUGUUUCCCUGUCUCUUUCUCUCUCCUCUGGCUCCCUAUUCCCUGAGGCACAAUCAUAUUGAAAUUAGGCCAAAUAAUAACCCUACAAUGGCUUCUAAAGGUUCAAGUAAAAGGAAGAGUCACAUCUCUUACUCUAAAUCAAAAGCUAGAAAUGAUUAAGCUUAGUGAGGAAGGCAUGUGGAAAGCUGAGA